rnacentral:rRNA from 1 species
GAUGAACGCUAGCGGCAGGCUUAACGCAUGCAAGUCGAGGGGUAUAGUAGCAAUACUAGAGACCGGCGCACGGGUGCGUAACGCGUAUGCAUUCUACCUUUCACAGAGGGAUAGCCCAGAGAAAUUUGGAUUAAUACCUCAUAGUAUAGUAUCUUGGCAUCAAGGAACUAUUAAAGUCACAACGGUGAAAGAUGAGCAUGCGUCCCAUUAGUUAGUUGGUAAGGUAACGGCUUACCAAGACUACGAUGGGUAGGGGUCCUGAGAGGGAGAUCCCCCACACGGGUACUGGGACACGGACCAGACUCCUACGGGAGGCAGCAGUGAGGAAUAUUGGACAAUGGGCGCAAGCCUGAUCCAGCCAUGCCGCGUGCAGGAUGACGGUCCUAUGGAUUGUAAACUGCUUUUGUACAGGAAGAAACACCCCGACGUGUCGGGACUUGACGGUACUGUAAGAAUAAGGAUCGGCUAACUCCGUGCCAGCCGCCGCCGUAA